CGUCCGAUGACGGUACNCCNGGAAUNAGGAUCGGCUAACUUCGUGCCAGCAGCCGCGGUAAGACGAAGGAUCCGAGUGUUAUCCNGNAAUUACUGGGCGUAAAGGGCGUCUAGGCGGCCAAGUAAGUCACCCGUGAAAGUCCGCGGCUCAACCGCGGAAUGCCGGGUGAAACUGCUUGACUUGGGUAUAGGAGAAGAGGGUGGAACUCACAGAGUAGCGGUGGAAUGCGUAGAUACUGUGAGGUACCCCGAUGGCGAAGGCAACCCUCUGGCCUGCUACCGACGCUGAAGCGCGAAAGCGUGGGGAGCAAAGGGGAUUAGAUACCCCCGUAGUCCACGCCGCAAACGAUGUUCACUUGGUGUCGGUCGCUGAUACAGAUCGGUGCCGGAGCUAACGUGUUAAGUGAACCGCCUGGGGAGUACGGCCGCAAGGCUAAAACUCAAGAGAAUUGACGGGGGCCCGCACAAGCGGUGGAGCACGUGGUUCAAUUCGAUGAUAAACGAAUAACCUCACCUGGGUUUGACAUGCUAGUAGUAGGAACCAGAAACGGGGACGACUUUCCCUUUCGAGGGGAGGAACUAGCACAGGUGAUGCAUGGCUGUCGUCAGCUCGUGUCGUGGGACGUAGGGUUAAGUCCCGAAACGAGCGCAACCCCUGUCGUCAGUUGCCAGCGGGUAAUGCCGGGGACUCUGACGAGACUGCUGGUGAAUAGCCGGAGGAAGGAGGGGACGACGUCAAGUCAUCAUGUCCCUUAUGCCCAGGGCUACACACAUGCUACAAUGGGAGGUACAAUGGGUUGCGAAACCGUAAGGUGGAGCCAAUCUCAAAAAGCCUUCCUCAGUUCGGAUUGAGGUCUGUAACUCGACCUCAUGAAGCUGGAAUCGCUAGUAAUCGCAGGUCAGCUAUACUGCGGUGAAUAUGUACUCGGGCCUUGUACACACCGCCCGU
rnacentral:rRNA from 1 species